GAUGAAGAACGUAGCGAAAUGCGAUAAGUAAUGUGAAUUGCAGAAUUCAGUGAAUCAUCGAAUCUUUGAACGCACAUUGCGCCCGCCAGUAUUCUGGCGGGCAUGCCUGUUCGAGCGUCAUUUCAACCCUCAAGCCCCCGGGCUUGGUGUUGGGGAUCGGCGUGCCUCGCGGCGCGCCGUCCCCUAAAUCUAGUGGCGGUCUCGCUGUAGCUUCCUCUGCGUAGUAGCAACACUCGCACUGGAUCGCAGCGCGGCCACGCCGUUAAACCCCCCACUUCUGAAAGUUUGACCUCGGAUCAGGUAGGAAUACCCGCUGAACUUAAGCAUAUCAAUAACGGAGGA
rnacentral:misc_RNA from 1 species